UAUCUUUUGCUGACAACACAGAACUGCUGCUGAUCUUUUGGUGUCAAUAGGUAGGCAGGUAGCAGAGAAUGCAGAUGCAUAUCUGUUGCUGUAAAAAUAAUAAAAAUAUAGUAUCACUAUGAUAGAUUACUCAAUAGCUUAUCUACAUACUUUGCUCUUUACAGCUCUUGAACAAUCUAUGAGUAACUGUAACCUUUGUUAAUAUAGAUUGAGAGACAGCUCAAUAUUCAAGCUCUAGCACAGAUCUAUUAUCUCGAUAUCCCUAAAUAUAACAGCUCAAGGACAGACAUAUUUAACGUUUUCUAAAAAAGAGUUCUACCUUACCAUGGUCUACAAAUAGUCUAAUGUUAAAUUAUAUACAAAACAUAUAUAUAAUACAAGUUUGUUAUACUAUAAACUGCCAUAUCCUGGUUUAAGCAUGGCUUCCCCCCCCCCCCCCCCCCCUCUCCGGUUGAAGAAAAUUUAGUGUCCCUCCAUGUGAAGUGAAUGCAGAUUUCAUCCAUAACAUAGGCUUGUCUAAGCUGAUUCCAUGACCCUUGAAUAGUAUCACAAGCAUGGUAAUCAGCAGUGGAUUUAGCUGUAGUAUCACAAGCAUGGUAAGUAUUGCACAUUGAUCAAUCACACGUACUGCCGCAUGCAAACCAAUAUAUCAU
rnacentral:lncRNA from 1 species